CCCUUAGAUGUUCUGGGCCGCACGCGCGCUACACUGACGAAGUCAGCGAGCAUGUCCUACGCCGACAGGUGCGGGGAAUCUUGUCAAACUUCGUCGUGAUGGUGAUUGAUUAUUGAAAUUCUUGAUCAUCAACGAGGAAUUCCUAGUAAGCGCAAGUCAGCAGCUUGCGUUGAUUACGUCCCUGCCCUUUGUACACACCGCCCGUCGCUACUACCGAUUGAAUGGUUUAGUGAGAUCUUCGGAUUGGCGCCACUGCGGCUCAGCAAUGGGCUCGGUGGAUGCCGAAAAGUUGAUCAAACUUGAUCAUUUAGAGGAAGUAAAAGGCGUAACA
rnacentral:rRNA from 1 species